rnacentral:piRNA from 1 species
UCAUAAAUCGCUGCUGUGUUGAAUGGGAGU